GAUGAACGCUGGCGGCGUGCCUAAUACAUGCAAGUAGAACGCUGAAGGAGGAGCUUGCUCUUCUGGAUGAGUUGCGAACGGGUGAGUAACGCGUAGGUAACCUGCCUGGUAGCGGGGGAUAACUAUUGGAAACGAUAGCUAAUACCGCAUGACAACAGUUAUUGCAUGAUAACUGUUUAAAAGGGGCAACUGCUCCACUACCAGAUGGACCUGCGUUGUAUUAGCUAGUUGGUGAGGUAACGGCUCACCAAGGCGACGAUACAUAGCCGACCUGAGAGGGUGAUCGGCCACACUGGGACUGAGACACGGCCCAGACUCCUACGGGAGGCAGCAGUAGGGAAUCUUCGGAAAUGGACGGAAGGCUGACCGAGCAACGCCGCGUGAGUGAAGAAGGUUUUCGGAUCGUAAAGCUCUGUUGUAAGAGAAGAACGAGUGUGAGAGUGGAAAGUUCACACUGUGACGGUAUCUUACCAGAAAGGGACGGCUAACUACGUG
rnacentral:rRNA from 1 species